AAUAGAAUCCAUGAAGCUGCCAAUGGUUCUACAAAUGGAGCCCCAAGUGACCACCACUAGCACCUACUGUCAAGGACCCCUAGACCCACCCACCAACCUGUUCUCACACCACAACACCAAAGACUCCCCUCCUGAGGAAACCUCAACUGCAGUGCCCCUUCUACCCCCCAGUUCAGCAGGAAGUAGCUAGAACAAUCGUCACCCAACUUCCCAACAGCACUUGGGCUUUCCUGUUGAAAGGGGGGACUGAGGGACUAAGUGGCUAAGUUGGCUGGACUUCCUGGGUCAAUAGGGACUUCCCUAAAGGGACUUUCCCCUAAGCCAAAAUGAGUUACAGCUGCAAGCUAAGAGAUUAAAACUUGAACCAAUCAAAGGGGAUUUUCCCCUAAGCCAAAAUUAGUCACGGCUGCAAGCUAAGAGAUUAAAACUUCAACC
rnacentral:lncRNA from 1 species